AUGCUCAUGCAAGACUACUUCACGGUGUCACCUACAUAUCUACCACACCUCUUCCGGAGAAGGUUUCGAAUGCGUCGAUCCCUCUUCGUAAAAAUAGUACGAGCUUGUGAGGCCAAUUCUCGAUUUUUAACCCCAAGAAGAAAUGUCGUAGGCUUAAAGGGUUUUAGCGCAUACCAAAAAAUCUGGCAGCUAUGCAGGUAA
rnacentral:rRNA from 1 species